GGAAAGGUGCGAGAGUGGUUUAAUCGGCACGCCUGGAGAGCGUGUGUCGCCGCAAGGUGACCGAGGGUUCGAAUCCCUCCCUUUCCGCCA
rnacentral:tRNA from 1 species